rnacentral:miRNA from 1 species
UAGGGUAACCAAUCAUCUUGGUUUGCCUGGGACUAAGGUAAGGUUUGCUGAGAUGCAGGACCUUCAGCACUGAAAUA